rnacentral:rRNA from 1 species
GACGAACGCUGGCGGCGUGCUUAACACAUGCAAGUCGAACGGUAAGGCCCUUCGGGGUACACGAGUGGCGAACGGGUGAGUAACACGUGGGUGAUCUGCCCUGCACUUCGGGAUAAGCCUGGGAAACUGGGUCUAAUACCGGAUAGGACCACUGCCUGCAUGGGUGGUGGUGGAAAGCUUUUGCGGUGUGGGAUGGGCCCGCGGCCUAUCAGCUUGUUGGUGGGGUGAUGGCCUACCAAGGCGACGACGGGUAGCCGGCCUGGGAGGGUGACCGGUCACACUGGGACUGAGCUCUGGACCAGACUCCUACGGGGGGCCGCAGUGGGGAAGAUUGCACAAUGGGCGCAGGCCUGAUGCAGCGACGCCGCGGGAGGGAUGACGGCCUUCGGGUUGUAAACCUCUUUCAGCACCGACGAAGCGCAAGUGACGGUAGGUGCAGAAGAAGGACCGGCCAACUACGUGCCAGCCGCCGCCGUAA